CUCCUGGUGGCUCAGAGGGUAAAGCGUCUGCCUGCUAUGCGGGAAACUCAGGUUCGAUCCCUGGCUUGGGAA
rnacentral:tRNA from 1 species